rnacentral:rRNA from 1 species
GUUGGGAGCCACUAGCCUAAACGUACUAGACCACAUUGGACUUGGAAACUAAGCAGGGCCAACUCUGGUUAGUACUCUGAUGGAAAACUGCCAAUGUAUACCAGGUGCUGCAGGCU